CCACAUUCGGUGGGGAUUAGUGGCGAACGGGUGAGUAACACGUGGGCAAUCUGCCCUUCACUCUGGGACAAGCCCUGGAAACGGGGUCUAAUACCGGAUACUGACCGGCCUGGGCAUCCAGGCGGGUCGAAAGCUCCGGCGGUGAAGGAUGAGCCCGCGGCCUAUCAGCUUGUUGGUGAGGUAAUGGCUCACCAAGGCGACGACGGGUAGCCGGCCUGAGAGGGCGACCGGCCACACUGGGACUGAGACACGGCCCAGACUCCUACGGGAGGCAGCAGUGGGGAAUAUUGCACAAUGGGCGAAAGCCUGAUGCAGCGACGCCGCGUGAGGGAUGACGGCCUUCGGGUUGUAAACCUCUUUCAGCAGGGAAGAAGCGAAAGUGACGGUACCUGCAGAAGAAGCGCCGGCUAACUACGUGCCAGCAGCCGCGGUAAUACGUAGGGCGCAAGCGUUGUCCGGAAUUAUUGGGCGUAAAGAGCUCGUAGGCGGCUUGUCACGUCG
rnacentral:rRNA from 1 species